rnacentral:lncRNA from 1 species
AAAAGCCAAAGCGAGAUUAGUAUUUUGUGACAUUCUUUCAGAACGGCUUAGCCAUUUUCCUGUAUCAGUUGAGUUCUGAGAUGUAGAUUUCCAAACAGUUCAUGCUCUGGUCAUCCUGUUCAGUCUGGAAUCAAGAACUGACGCUGUCAGUUUCUGUGUCACGUUUUGCACAGUGGCACCCCAGUUUCCUCAUGUUUUUGCUCACACAGUGGUUUAUAAUUUUCUAAGACUGAGUUUGGCCUGCUGCCUCCCAGCAUCAAAACCUAUUUAUAUUUGUAAAACUCAGGACAUUCCGAGUUGUUCCUUUUUCUUUCCCCACAAAAUGGGCUUAGGUGAGGGACCUGCUGAAGCUCAUUAUGUUGCAGUUCCAAAAUCUUUUUUUUUUUUUUCUUUCCAAGAAUAGAAGGAGAUAGGUAUCUGCACUGAAUUUAAAUCCCAUUUUUUCAGGUGUGAAGGCAGCUCCUGUACUUGCCCAUCUCUUUGUCUUCAGUGUUUAGUUCACACUUCAUCUCUCAAAAAGCUGUGGUUGCAGAGAUCUUCACUUUGCUCUGUAGGGCUAGUCCUGCUGAGGUGGUGCAGAACUCUUGUUCGAUGGUGUAAAAAAGCAUCAGGUGACUUUGCCUUCUCAGCCAGAGCCUUGGGAUAUCAGAAACCUGCUAAAGUGGAUCAAACAGAAUCUGCUGAAAGAACGGCCGGAAUUAUUUAUGCAAGGGGAAUCUGUGGUGAGCUGGAUUAUAAACUCCAGGACCAGGAUAAUGUGCUUUUCAUCUCGACGUUACAUGGUGGGUGAACUCCUGGAAAAAGAAGAGGACAUGAAUCUGAACCCUUGGGCAAACAAACAUCUAAACCCACCCAAACCUCUCUCGAACUCUCUGUGCCUGAUCCCUGCAUCAUCCCACCACGUUCACUUGUUAACAGACAUCCAAAUAAAGCCCCGUCAGCACACAGCCUGCUGCAUACUGCUACGGCAUCCAUCUUUUGGUCAUUUCACCUCUCCUGACUACAUUUCCAGGUACCUUAACAAGCAGAGAGCACCUGCUGCACGUGCAACAGUGUGUUUCUGUGACAAGGGAGAGGUGUGCUGGGCGUUGCAUAGGAUGGUGCAUCUAUGUAGGCAUCCUGGGGGAGUUGUGCCUGCCUUGAGGCAAGGCAAAGUGCCUCUGCUUUAGUGCCAGGAGCUGGGAUUCUUUUUGCAAAACACUCAGUGUCAUGUAGGCUAUUGCAGCAGCUACAGAGAUGCCUGGGGAAGGACGAUAUGUGAAGUGCAAGGAAAUGGGAGAUGACUUCACUAGCUCUUCUGUGGGGUGGUGGAGAUUACAGCUGCAGAGCUCUCUGUACUGGCUCUCCACUUGUCUUGCUGUUUAUCUGUGGGAAGUAGGCAAAUAGGCAUUUUUAGUUCUGUUUGACACUAUAUGCCUCCUGCAUACCUGAGCUGCAGCAGGGUGAACUACCAGUCCGCAAACGUCAAUUUACAACCAUUUGGUUGGAGGGUAAACAAACCCAUGCCUGCUCUAAGACAGCGCAGAGAGAUAAGGGCAGCAAAUUAUCUUUCUGUCAACGUGACGGACAGAAUUGAUCAGCCUUGGUUUCAUUCUGUGCAGGCGUGGAGCAGCAGGGAGCUGCACUGCUCCUGGAGUGAGGAGCCAGAGGGCAGGUUCACAGCAGCCCUGCUGCUGGGUGACGCUGUGGCAGGGCUGUGUGCUCUGCGUGACCACUCCUGCUGCCAGGCUAGGCAGAGCAGGAGGCCGAGGCCUAAGCACAGGGAAAGUGUUUAGAGCAAGGAAGGGAAGCGAGCAGCUUGUAACCCUUUCUGUUGGUGGGAGGGGAGGCUUCUCUCCUGUGAGUGCAGUGGGGUAUGGCUGCCAGGAUGCCACGGUGAGAGCACAGGGAAGGGAUCACUGAGGAUGGUGUCGGUACCACGAGCCUGCACAGUGCUGCUGUGUUUCCUCCUCAGUGCUGCUGUGUUUCCUCCUCGCCCCUUCCUGCUCUCUUAGCCCCAUUCACCCAUGUUUCCACGUGGCUCUGGAAAUACACACUCAGUGGUUCCCAGCUGCAGCAUUGCUGCUGGGGCUGAGGGCUCAGUGAAGCCAUGAGCUCCUCAGAACUGACCUGCACUGCUGUUGCCUCCACUUCCCCAAGCUGCCAAGGAUGGCAGUGAGCAGUGCAGGGCUGCAGCACCUGCUUGGGCAGCCCGACCCCAUCACUGCUCAUUGCUCUGUGCCGGGGGGGAGUGCCAAAGAAUAAUUCCCUGUAUGACCUCUCUGCUUCUCUGCUGACUCUCCAUCACGUUCACCCCUCUAUAACUGCGUAGCUCCCGGCACACACAGGCUGCAGUGCUGAGAAACCUCAACUUCAGAGCACAUUAUUGAGAGUGAACCGAUAGCCUUUUCCAAAGCCAGACACAGCAGUUUGAGUCCAGCUUGUGCUGUUUGUAAAUGGCACAGACAGACCACAGGCUCUUCUCUGCCCUGAGCUUGCUGCCAGAGGUGCUGUUGGAUGAGGGGAAUGGAAGGGGGAUUCUGGGUGAUGGGGAGCUGGCUGAAAAACAGCAAACCUGCUCAAAACGGCCUCAGACCCGACUAAGGAAGGACGUUUGUCCUCAGUUGCUGCCUGCUCUGCCUCUGCUGCAUUUCUGCUUUAGGCUGAGCUUUUCUGUUCUGAUCCCCCCAGCUGAAAGGCUGAGCUCCUUCCAGGGCAGCGUUAUCCCCUGGCAGCGCAGGUACAGCAAAGUGGCUCAGCCUCUGCCGUAGUAAAAGCUGCCAAUCACUGCUGGGGAUGUGGAGGUGAGGGAAGCCGGGCAAAGGGAGGGGAAAAGAGGAAUACGGCAAAACCCUGUGACAAAGUUUCUGAAAUAAAACCCUUCUAAAACAUUCGUUGCCUCCGGCU